rnacentral:rRNA from 1 species
UACGGAGGGUGCAAGCGUUUAUCCGGAUUCACUGGGUUUAAAGGGUGCGUAGGUGGGCUAGUAAGUCCGUGGUGAAAUCUCCAAGCUUAACUUGGAAACUGCCGUGGAUACUAUUAGUCUUGAAUAUUGUGGAGUAAGCGGAAUAUGUCAUGUAGCGGUGAAAUGCUUAGAUAUGAACAUAGAACACCGAUAGCGAAGGCAGCUUGCUACACAAUCAUUGACACUGAGGCACGAAAGCGUGGGGAU